rnacentral:rRNA from 1 species
UACAGAGGUCUCAAGCGUUGUUCGGAUUCAUUGGGCGUAAAGGGUGCGUAGGUGGCGCUGUAAGUCGGGUGUGAAAUUUCGGAGCUCAACUCCGAAACUGCAUUCGAUACUGCGGUGCUUGAGGACUGGAGAGGAGACUGGAAUUCAUGGUGUAGCAGUGAAAUGCGUAGAGAUCAUGAGGAAGACCAGUGGCGAAGGCGGGUCUCUGGACAGUUCCUGACACUGAGGCACGAAGGCCAGGGGAGCAAACGGG